ACCUUUGUGGGAGGCGAUGAACCAUUUGACUGCAUUGGCCGUUGCUUGAAGUUUUUCAGAGCAGGUCAAAUGGGGAGCCAGCGCGAAACCGGCCCACAGGGUG
rnacentral:ncRNA from 23 species